rnacentral:rRNA from 1 species
UACAGAGGGGGCAAGCGUUGUUCGGAAUUACUGGGCGUAAAGGGCGCGUAGGUGGCCUUCUAAGUCAUACGUGAAAUCCCCGGGCUCAACCCGGGAACUGCGUCUGAUACUGGAAGGCUUGAAUCCGGGAGAGGGAUGCGGAAUUCCAGGUGUAGCGGUGAAAUGCGUAGAUAUCUGGAGGAACACCGGUGGCGAAGGCGGCAUCCUGGACCAACACUGACGCUGAGGAGCGAAAGCCAGGGGAGCAAACGGG